GGCGGAGGGAUCAUUGCUGGAACGCGCCUCGGCGCACCCAGAAACCCUUUGUGAACUUAUACCCACUGUUGCCUCGGCGCAGGCCGGUCUGUCUCAGACCCCCUGGAGACAGGGAGCAGCCCGCCGGCGGCCAACCAAACUCUGUUUCUAUAGUGAAUCUCUGAGUAAAAAACAUAAAUGAAUCAAAACUUUCAACAACGGAUCUCUUGGUUCUGGCAUCGAUGAAGAACGCAGCGAAAUGCGAU
rnacentral:misc_RNA from 1 species